GGCUAGGACAUUUUGUAGGAAGUGUUUAGUGUAUUGUGGUCUUUAUAAUUAAGUUAUUCUAAGGAUAAAAUGGCAGCAAUAGGCAUGACUAUGUGUGUGUGUGUCUGUGUACGUGUCUGUGUGUGUGUUUAGCCUUUGUUAGCUGCGAAACAUAUUUGACAAGUUUAAAGUCAAGGGUUUAUCCCCCUCAGUAGUUCUUGUAUAGCAAAGUGAAUUUUUGCUAUUUAGAAAGGAAUCUUCUUCACUUUUGCCAAAAGUAAAGUUGAAAGGCAUGCUGGGAUAUUUUCCCCAUAAUAAGGGAUUUCAACCCCUUCACAUUUGGACAUUUUCCCUGCUUAGGCAGCCACAGCACAGAGAUAGAAUUAGUCACAAGAUUAGUCCAGCUUAAAUAAGCAGAAGUCAAGUUAGUGCUUCACAGAUUGGUCUUUUAGCAGAUGCUCUGCCCUUUCGAGGAAUGCAAGGGGCAAAUGUGAGCUCUUAAGGAUAUUUUACAUUUGCGCAAUGAAGUUACGCUGUUCAAAAAACUUUCUCGUCUUUCUGCCUUUGUGCAACCUAAUUUCUCUUACCAGAAACCUGAGGCUCCAAAGUUCUGGAGGCCGGAAGUCCAGGGUCAAGGUGACAGUGGAUUCGUUUCCUGGUGAGGACCCUCUUCCUGGUUUGUACAUGUGAUUCCUAGCAGUCUCCAUUUUGAAGUUCUCUUCUCCUUUGACCAAGCGUCCAGCACAUCCUCACAACACUCCAAAGCCACCUUGAAGACUCUCUUCAAAGCAGUUCUUACUGUUGAUACCACCACCAUUGUUCCGACACAUGAAGCAGGAGGACCCAAGGCCAGAGGUCAUGGUGGAGAGAUGAGCAGAUAGUCCUCAAAGGCAGACAGGGCUGGGGUUGGAGAGGAAUUCCCUAAUAGCUGUUAUAAAUGGAGAUAUGACAGGUGUGAACAAACAACCUAGGACUGGAAGAAAGAAGAGGGAGGAGUCGGGUAGAGAUAGUACUUGGAGUGGAUGCCCAGGCUGUGUAGUGACAUAAAGGGGCUUAAAGAGGGCUUAGGGAGCAGAUCUGAGAGGAAGAGAAUGAAGGAAGGUAAGGAAUUCAGUCUUUGGCAUUCUGAUACGUUGUGAGGGCUGGGGGUGGUGACCGACUAGAUUCAGGGAACCUGAGGGCUGGGUGUUGGUUUGUGUUCUUGAAAUUACUUCCUCAGGAUUUCACAUCUAACCAAAUAUUAACAAUCAUUUACUAAAUAAAUAUUGUUCUGUCCCUGGAUGGGCAGAUGGGAGUGUUAUGCCUGCCCCUCCCCAUCCCCCACCAAAAAAAUAACAAAGGCAGUUUAAUUCAUGACCCCAAGGCUGUCACAAUCCAGACUAAGAAGUGCCCUGAGAGCCUGGUGGGAUCAUCUUGGUGCACAGACCCAGUAUCCAGGGGAUCUGAGUGGCCAAGGAACACCCAGAACUCCUGCCUCCCAUAAGUGCAAGGCUGAGCAUAGCAAAGUAUGAAGAGGGAAGGCUCUUCUAACACUGAAGUACGUAGGAGCAGACUUUUCAGUAAGAAGAAAAGUCCCAGAAAUUCAGAUUAGAUUAUAAACAAAUUAUAAAGCGAUAAGCUGGCUGAAACAAUAAUAUUCAAAUUAGUUCAAUUCAGCAAGUACAUAUGAGUGCUUCUGUGUGCCCAUCCUGGGCUAGUCCACUUGAGGGAAUGGACACAGGAGAAAUGAACAGGGUUUAAAGGGGAGGUAUUUCUUCAGGCACAAAGCUCUGCAGAUGGCUGCCUCUCCACUGGGCACCCCAUGACAAUUCACACAAGAUCUCUCCCAAGACCUCUCAAAGCAAUUCUUUUAAGACCUCAGUCCCUGCCCCCAAGCAGCCAGGAGUCUGUUUCACUGGUAUCAGAUCAAGCAGACCCUUCCUGAAGCUUUUGUAGAGAAAUGGAAGUGAUUUGGUUAAAACAGGGAAUUUCGGCUGGGUGCAGUGGCUCACACCUGUAAUCCUAGCACUUUGGGAGACCCAGGCGGGCAGAUUGUCUGGGCUCAGGAGUUUGAGACCAGCCUGGGCAACAUAGCUAAACUCUGUCUGUACUAAAAAUACAACAACAACAACAAAAAAGUAGCCAAGCUUGGUAGCAUGUGCCUGUAAUCCCAGCUACUUGGGUGGCUGAGACAUGGGAAUCACUUGUACCUGGGAGAUGGAAGUUGCAGUGAGCCGAGAUCAUGUCACUGCACUCCAGCCUGGGCGAUGGAGCGAGACUGUCUCCAAAAAACAAAACAAACAAACAAACAAACGAAACAGGGAAUUUCAAAGAUGAAAGCAAGAGCAAAGAUGGAGAAUGGGUUGGAGGUGGAAGAAACACAGAAGUAAGAAGUAAAGGCUAGUGAGGAGAGUAUGAAUACUUUAGGCUCUCUGAGUUGAUGGCAGCAAGUAGAGCCAAGGGGCAGGGAGAAUGAAGACAUAGUCUCUACUGAUUGGAUGUAGAAGAAAUGAAAAAGAAGAGUCUAAGAUGACCUUCAGUAGGAGUGGUAGAAGGGUGAAUGAGGAAAGUCAGUAGCUCAGAAGAGAAGCAUUUGAAGAAGGAAGAUAACAAGUUCAGUAAUUUAAGACUCUAUCUUUUCUUUCCUGAACUCUUCCUAUAGUAUCCCUGUUGGGUCCCCCUCUCCAGGAUUUGUUCUCCAGUCUACCCUUUGCACUGGGUUUCUAAAAGGCAAUCUUUACUGGAUUAUUCUCUGCAUCCAGCCUCACAGUGGUUGCCACCACCUUGAGGUGAAAGGCCAAGGUCCAGAGCAUGGCAUACAAGCUCUUGGAGCUCUGCCUUUCCUAUAUCUUAGCCUUAUAUCCUGCCAUUCUCCUUCUUGGGCUCAACAUUCCUGCCAUCCUGAAAUAUUUGCAUUGAAAAAGAAAGCCAGUUUCAUGUGUCAGUGCUCUUGUACUUGUUAACCUCACCGUGAAAAUUUUUUCCUACCUUUCCUGGUUGAACUUCUCACCAUCCUGUACCAGGUGGCUAAAAACCCAGCAAAGCACUCCCUAAUGGUCCUCUCCACUCUCCCAAGGAAGGUUUGUUCCAGAAAUGCAAGGUCUGAUUCAAUAUAUGAAAAUUAUUCAAUGUAAUCUUCCAUAUUAAUGGCUAAAGGAGAAAAAUCAUGUGGUCUUGUCAACUGAUACAGAAAAAGCAUUUUAAAAAAUCUAACAUGUAUUCAUGAUAAAAACUCUUAGAAAAAAUGGAUUAGAGGGAAACUUCCUCAACUUGAUAAAGAGUGUCUACCAAAAGGCUCUAGCUAAUAUUGUUUUUAGUGGUGAAGGACUGAAUGCUUUCUCCAUAAGAUCAAGAACAAGGCAACAAUGUCUGCUCUCACCACUCUUAUUCAACAUAGUACAGGUAGUUCUGGCCAAUUUCAAAAGGUACAAGAAGAAAAAAAAGCAUGCAGAUGAGAAAGGAAAAAAUAAAACUGUCCCUAUCUGCAGAUGAAAUGAUUGUUUAGGUAGAAAAUUCCAUGAAAUCUGCAAAACAACAACCUCCUAGAACUCAUAAGUGAGUUCCUCAAGGUUGCAAGAUGUAAUACAAACAUACAAAAGUCAAUUUUAUUUUGGCAUCCAUAACAGAUGGAAGUUAUAGUACUUGAUACAGGAAUUUGGAAUCUUAGAAAAUGGACCUUAGACCACCACAAGAGGGAUCUCCUAAUUCUCUCUCACCCCAUCAGUCUUUCCUGAGAAGUCUAGCUAUGCUGGAAUACUACCAGCUGGGAAGGUAGUAUAUGGUGUCCAUAACAGACACCAAAAUAAAAAAUAAAUGCCAUUUACAGUUGCUAAAAAAACCCAAGUAUAAAUCUAACAAAACAUGUACAGGACUUCAAUUGUACAUGUUUUGUGGCAGAAAACUACAAAACAUUGAUGAAAUAAACCAAAGAAGAUCUAAAUAAAUGGAAAAACAUAGUGUGUUUGUGGAUUAGAAGAUUCAAUAUAAUAAAGAAGUCAAUUAUUUGCCAAUUUACAUAGAAGUUUAAUGCAAUUCCUAUCAGAAUCCCAGCAAGAUUUUUGUAGAUAUAGACACGAUUAUUCUAAAAUUUAUAUGAAAAUGCAAAGGAACCAGAAUAGCUAAAAUAACUUUGUAAAAGAAUAAUAAAGUGGGAGGAAUCAAUCUACCUGAUUUCAAGAUUUAUUAUAGAGCUGUCGUAUUUACAGAGUGAUAGACACAUAGAUCAAUGAAACAAAUAGAGAACCUAGAAACAGACUCACAAAAAUAUGCCCAACCAAAAGGUACAAAAGCAAUUCAGUGGAGGAAGGAUAGCCUUUUCAAUGAAGCUCAACUUAAAUCUCAUAUAUUUAAAGAAUUAACUCAAAAAUAGAUCACAGGCUUAAAAGUUUUACACUAUAAAACUUUUAGAAAACAAAACACAGGAGAAAAUCAUAGGUAUCUAGGGCUAGGCAAAAAGUUCUUAGAUUUGCCAUCAAAAGUCUGACCCAUAAAAGAAAAUAUUAAUGGUUAGAUUUCAUCAAAAUUUAAAACUCUUGCUGUGUAAAAUGGCCCAUUAUGAGAGUGAAAAGACAAGCUUCAGAGAGCAAGAAAAUAUUUACAAACCACAUAUCUGACAAAGGGCUAGUAGCUAGAUACAUAAAAAUCUCUCAAAACCUAACACUAAAAAAUAAAACAAAAGCAAUACAAUCAGAAAAUGUGAAAACGACAUGAAGAAACACUUUACUGAAGAGGAUAUAUGGAUGGCAAAUACGCAUUUGAAAAUAUGUUCAACAUCAUUAGUCAUUAGGAAAUGUGAAUUAAAAUCACAAUGAAAUAUCACUAUGCAACAGAAUGGCUAAAAUAAGAAAUAGUGACAACACCAAAUGCCAGUGUCAAUGUGGAUAAACUGUAUCUCUCCUAUAACUGUAUCUCUUCUGUAUCUCUCCUAUAUUUUUGUGUAAACAUGUUUCCAUUUCUCUGGAUAAAUACUCCUAGGUGUUUAUCACACAAGUGUUCAUGGCUGUUUUUCUGGUAGUAGCCCAAAAACUGUAAACAACCCAGAUGUCCUUCAACAGGUGAUAGCUAAACACACUAUGGUACAUCCAUGUGGUAAAAAAUAUCAGCAAUAAAAAGAAACGAACUUCUGAUGUGCACAGCAAAUUGGAUGAAGCUUCAGGGAAUUAUGCAGAGUAAAAAAAAGCCAAUUCCAAAAUGUUACAUACUUGAUUACAGCAUUUAUAUAACAUUCUUGAAAUGACAAAAUUAUAGACAUGGAGAAUGGAGGAGGGGUUGCCAGGGGCUGAGACGGGUGUUGGAAGGAGGAGAUGCAGUCGAUAAGGUGGUGUGGCUAUAAUAGGGUAAUAGCAGGGAUAUUUGUGGUGAUGAUAUUGUUCUGUAUCUUGUCAAUAUCCUGGUCUGAUAUCACACUAUAGUUUUUCAAGAUGUUGCCGUUGGUCGAAAAUGGGUAAAGGGUACACUGGAUUUCUCUGUAUUGUUUCUUACAACUGCAUGUGCUUCUACAGUGAUCUCAAAAUUAAAAGUUGAAUUUAAAAAAUAAAGCACAAACCACACUCAUGUAUUAUCUCAUAGUCAGAAUCCCAGGCCCAGCAUAACUGGGUCCUCUAUUCAGGUCCCACCUGUCUGAGACCAAGGUGUCUGCCAGGGCUGUCGUCUCAUCUGAGGUUUGG
rnacentral:lncRNA from 10 species